UACGUAGGCAGCAAGCGUUGUUCGGAGUUACUGGGCGUAAAGGGUGCGUAGGCGGUCCUAUAAGUAUGGUGUGAAAUCUCCCGGCUUAACUGGGAGGGUGCGCUAUAGACUGUGGGACUAGAGUGUGGGAGAGGAAAGUGGAAUUCCUGGUGUAGCGGUGAAAUGCGCAGAUAUCAGGAGGAACACCGGUGGCGAAGGCGCCACUCUGGGCCGAAACUGACGCUGAGGAGCGAAAGCGUGGGUAGCAAACAGG
rnacentral:rRNA from 1 species